CGGAAGUGUUAUUGUAGCCAUUUCGACCGUGCCACAACGAUGCCGACAGCUCUCUUUGCCACCCCUACAACGUGCUUGUUCAAGCAGCUCCUUUUCUUUCAGGUUUUGUGCUUAGAAAGAGUGACAUGAUGCAGGAUGGAGUUGCGAGGAGUUCCCGGACACGGUCAGAGAUGGCUGGAACAGUCGGAUGGAUUUGCAAUCAUGCAAUAAAUGCCCACAUAAGACGCCAUGGUCAAAUGGUUGGAGAUCGUUGAGAGUUUGCAGCUAUUGAUGAAAGUUGUUUCCUUAAUAAAAGCAAGUAUCACCACAGAAGGGCCGGUGCAACAUGGCGACGGAAAAAGUGGGUAUUAAGAAUAUUAGGAGUAGGUGACCGCCAGAAACAUCCUGUCUUGUGGCUGGUGUGGUUAAACAAGUGCGUCCGGGAACCACCGUCAUCAGUGACCAAUGGGGCACUUACAGGAGUGCAUUGACUGCGACAGGCUACAGGCACUUCACAGUGAACCACUGUCAGUAGUUUGCGGAUCCAAACACCUUGCGCGCCUCCCAGUAUGUCAACCCCAGCUUUCUCUGUGGACCAUGCAACUUGGACUUUCCGAGUUUCAUAUAGGACAAUGCAUCUUGCUCUGCAUCUGUAAACCAUGGAUUCAUCUUUUGGACAUUUUCAGGAGAAUGGCUGUGUGUGUGUGUGUGUGUGUGUGUGUGUGUGUGUGUGUGUGUGUGUGUGUGUGUGUGUGUGUGUGUGUGUGUGUGUGUGUGUGUGUGUGUGUGUGUGUGUGUGUGUGUGCGUUGGUCGGUCAGUCGGUCGGUCGGUUGGUCGGUCUGUCUGUCUGUCGCUUUCUCUCUCUCUCUCUCUCUCUCUCUCUCUCUCUCUCUCUCUCUCUCUCUCUCUCUCUCUCUCUCUCUCUCUGGAUAAAUGUAUGUAAGCCUGUGGUAUGUUAUUGUGUGAUCCCUUGUUUAACAUUUUUGCUUAUUAAAAUUUGUACACAAACUGGUGUUUUUAUUGAUAAUGUUAGUUAAUCAGAAG